rnacentral:rRNA from 1 species
UAGGGAAUCUUCCGCAAUGGACGCAAGUCUGACGGAGCAACGCCGCGUGAGUGAAGAAGGAUUUCGGUUCGUAAAACUCUGUUGUUAGAGAAGAACAGCGCAUAGAGUAACUGUUAUGCGUGUGACGGUAUCUAACCAGAAAGCCACGGCUAACUACGUGCCAGCAGCCGCGGUAAUACGUAGGUGGCAAGCGUUGUCCGGAUUUAUUGGGCGUAAAGCGAGCGCAGACGUUCAAUUAAGUCGGAUGUGAAAGCCCCCGGCUCAACCGGGGACUGUCAUUGGAAACUAGUUAACUUGAAUGCAGAAGAGGAGAGUGAAAUUCCAUGUAUAGAGGUGAAAUGCGUAGAGAUAGGGAGGAACACCGGUGGCGAAAGCGGCUCUCUGGAAAGUAACUAACGAUGAGGCUCGAAAGCGUGGGGAGCGAACAUG